rnacentral:rRNA from 1 species
GGGUUGUGAGGUUAAGCGACUAAGCGUACACGGUGGAUGCCCUGGCAGUCAGAGGCGAUGAAGGGCGUGCUAAUCUGCGAUAAGCGCCGGUAAGGUGAUAUGAACCGUUAUAACCGGCGAUACCCGAAUGGGGAAACCCAGUGUGAUUCGUCACACUAUCAUUAACUGAAUCCAUAGGUUAAUGAGGCGAACCGGGGGAACUGAAACAUCUAAGUACCCCGAGGAAAAGAAAUCAACCGAGAUUCCCCCAGUAGCGGCGAGCGAACGGGGAGGAGCCCAGAGCCUGAAUCAGCAUGUGUGUUAGUGGAAGCGUCUGGAAAGGCGCGCGAUACAGGGUGACAGCCCCGUACACAAAAGCGCAUGUGCUGUGAGCUCGAUGAGUAGGGCGGGACACGUGGUAUCCUGUCUGAAUAUGGGGGGACCAUCCUCCAAGGCUAAAUACUCCUGACUGACCGAUAGUGAACCAGUACCGUGAGGGAAAGGCGAAAAGAACCCCGGCGAGGGGAGUGAAACAGAACCUGAAACCGUGUACGUACAAGCAGUGGGAGCCCCACCACUAAGCCAGUGGUGAACUCCACAUACGCAUCCUUUGCUGAGGAGACGGUUAACGGAGCGAAAGCGACGUUCAACCUCAAAACAAGCAGAGGGGGCUUAGUGGUGGGGUGACUGCGUACCUUUUGUAUAAUGGGUCAGCGACUUAUAUUCUGUAGCAAGGUUAACCGAAUAGGGGAGCCGGAGGGAAACCGAGUCUUAAUUGGGCGUUAAGUUGCAGGGUAUAGACCCGAAACCCGGUGAUCUAGCCAUGGGCAGGUUGAAGGUUGGGUAACACUAACUGGAGGACCGAACCGACUAAUGUUGAAAAAUUAGCGGAUGACCUGUGGCUGGGGGUGAAAGGCCAAUCAAACCGGGAGAUAGCUGGUUCUCCCCGAAAGCUAUUUAGGUAGCGCCUCGUGAAUUCAUCUCCGGGGGUAGAGCACUGUUUCGGCUAGGGGGCCAUCCCGGCUUACCAACCCGAUGCAAACUGCGAAUACCGGAGAAUGUUAUCACGGGAGACACACGGCGGGUGCUAACGUCCGUCGUGAAGAGGGAAACAACCCAGACCGCCAGCUAAGGUCCCAAAGUCAUGGUUAAGUGGGAAACGAUGUGGGAAGGCCCAGACAGCCAGGAUGUUGGCUUAGAAGCAGCCAUCAUUUAAAGAAAGCGUAAUAGCUCACUGGUCGAGUCGGCCUGCGCGGAAGAUGUAACGGGGCUAAACCAUGCACCGAAGCUGCGGCAGCGACACUGUGUGUUGUUGGGUAGGGGAGCGUUCUGUAAGCCUGCGAAGGUGGCCUGUGAGGGUUGCUGGAGGUAUCAGAAGUGCGAAUGCUGACAUAAGUAACGAUAAAGCGGGUGAAAAGCCCGCUCGCCGGAAGACCAAGGGUUCCUGUCCAACGUUAAUCGGGGCAGGGUGAGUCGACCCCUAAGGCGAGGCCGAAAGGCGUAGUCGAUGGGAAACGGGUUAAUAUUCCCGUACUUGGUGUUACUGCGAAGGGGGGACGGAGAAGGCUAUGUUGGCCGGGCGACGGUUGUCCCGGUUUAAGCGUGUAGGCUGGUUUUCCAGGCAAAUCCGGAAAAUCAAGGCUGAGGCGUGACGACGAGGCACUACGGUGCUGAAGCAACAAAUGCCCUGCUUCCAGGAAAAGCCUCUAAGCAUCAGGUAACAUCAAAUCGUACCCCAAACCGACACAGGUGGUCAGGUAGAGAAUACCAAGGCGCUUGAGAGAACUCGGGUGAAGGAACUAGGCAAAAUGGUGCCGUAACUUCGGGAGAAGGCACGCUGACAUGUAGGUGAAGUGAUUUACUCAUGGAGCUGAAGUCAGUCGAAGAUACCAGCUGGCUGCAACUGUUUAUUAAAAACACAGCACUGUGCAAACACGAAAGUGGACGUAUACGGUGUGACGCCUGCCCGGUGCCGGAAGGUUAAUUGAUGGGGUCAGCGCAAGCGAAGCUCCUGAUCGAAGCCCCGGUAAACGGCGGCCGUAACUAUAACGGUCCUAAGGUAGCGAAAUUCCUUGUCGGGUAAGUUCCGACCUGCACGAAUGGCGUAAUGAUGGCCAGGCUGUCUCCACCCGAGACUCAGUGAAAUUGAACUCGCUGUGAAGAUGCAGUGUACCCGCGGCAAGACGGAAAGACCCCGUGAACCUUUACUAUAGCUUGACACUGAACAUUGAGCCUUGAUGUGUAGGAUAGGUGGGAGGCUUUGAAGCGUGGACGCCAGUCUGCAUGGAGCCGACCUUGAAAUACCACCCUUUAAUGUUUGAUGUUCUAACGUGGACCCGUGAUCCGGGUUGCGGACAGUGUCUGGUGGGUAGUUUGACUGGGGCGGUCUCCUCCUAAAGAGUAACGGAGGAGCACGAAGGUUGGCUAAUCCUGGUCGGACAUCAGGAGGUUAGUGCAAUGGCAUAAGCCAGCUUGACUGCGAGCGUGACGGCGCGAGCAGGUGCGAAAGCAGGUCAUAGUGAUCCGGUGGUUCUGAAUGGAAGGGCCAUCGCUCAACGGAUAAAAGGUACUCCGGGGAUAACAGGCUGAUACCGCCCAAGAGUUCAUAUCGACGGCGGUGUUUGGCACCUCGAUGUCGGCUCAUCACAUCCUGGGGCUGAAGUAGGUCCCAAGGGUAUGGCUGUUCGCCAUUUAAAGUGGUACGCGAGCUGGGUUUAGAACGUCGUGAGACAGUUCGGUCCCUAUCUGCCGUGGGCGCUGGAGAACUGAGGGGGGCUGCUCCUAGUACGAGAGGACCGGAGUGGACGCAUCACUGGUGUUCGGGUUGUCAUGCCAAUGGCACUGCCCGGUAGCUAAAUGCGGAAGAGAUAAGUGCUGAAAGCAUCUAAGCACGAAACUUGCCCCGAGAUGAGUUCUCCCUGAGACUUAAAGUCUCCUGAAGGAACGUUGAAGACGACGACGUUGAUAGGCCGGGUGUGUAAGCGCAGCGAUGCGUUGAGCUAACCGGUACUAAUGAACCGUGAGGCUUAACCUUACAACGCCGAAG